rnacentral:ncRNA from 1 species
CCGGAUGUACGACCAUUCGUAACCUAAUCAAGCAUGCGUCACUGGCAACGGUGGGGUGUGAAGCCUUGAUGACAAUGUACCCUUGAGACGUUUUCAGCAUCGAAUUCAUGCGAGUGAGUCGAUGGAUACUACCAGCAGGAAGGUGGUUAAGGGG